rnacentral:rRNA from 1 species
GCCCCGCGACCGAAACGCGUCGUGCCGUGUGCCGCCAGCGCCAUCCAGAAGCCCGCGUUUGCGUGCACACCAAAACCCACGGCCCACGCCUCCACGCCGCCAGCGGCCCUAUAUAUGAACCCCUCCAUCCCUAGCAUCCACCGCACCGCCUCCUCGCAGCGCAGAUCAAUCCCGUCGACGCCGCCAAGCCUCCAACAGAGCCCUCCAACUUUCCUCGCCAGCCUCUCCGCUUAGCAAGGGUGUGAUGGCUCCCCGCGCCGCCGUGCUGCUCCUGGCCAUGGCCGUGGCCUCCGUCUUCCUCGCAUCCGCGUCGGCGCAGGGCGUCAUGGCGCCUUCCUCGGCUCCUUCGUCGGCGCCGGCGCCCGCUCCGGACACCGGAGCGGCCGCCGGCCUCUCCCCGGUCUCCGCCGUCGCCGUGGUCGCCUCCGCGCUGGUGUCCCUGCUCGCGGCGACUCUACUGCAGUAGAGAUGGUGGCUGCGCUUUGGCCCGGGUGAUCGGUUUCUAUACAUACCGUCUUCGUUAGUGCUAGGCUAGAUCGGUGGUGGUUCGAUGAGUCUUUGUUGCGGAGUUUGGUCGAUCGGUUGAUCUUGUUAGGCAUUCUUUCCUUUUGUCAUAUAUAUAUGUCCGCUAUAUUAUGCUGCUGUGUGCCCUGAUUUGUAUGAGAUUGUGUUGCUAUGAAUAAAGCAUGAUGAUCCCGUGAUCAUGUCACAUCGCGAAAGAAAAAUGGGGAUGGGGAUGGAUUUGUACUUUGAAACGUAUAAUUCUCAGUUACUGGAUUUAACGUAAAGAAAAC